rnacentral:lncRNA from 1 species
ACAUGGCAACAUAGUGGAGGCCUACAGACUGGAGACAUUACAUCAUAGUGGAGGCCUGCAGACUGGGGAUAUGACAACAUAGUGGAGGCCUACAGACUGGAGACAUUACAUCAUAGUGGAGGCCUACGGACUGGAGACAGGACAACAUAGUGGAGGCCUACAGACUGGAGACAUGACAAAAUAGUGAAGACUACAGAUGGGAGACAUGACAACAUAAUGGAGGACUACAGACUGGAGACAUGAUAUCAUAGUGGAGGCCUACAGACUGGAGAAAUGACAAUAUAGUGGAGGCCUACAGACUGGAGACAUGAUAUCAUAGUGGAGACCUACAGACUGGAGACAUUACAUCAUAGUGGAGGCCUACAGACUGGAGACAUGACAACAUAGUGGAGGACUACAGAAUAGAGACAUUACAACAUAGUGGAUGCCUACAGACUGGAGACAUGACAACAUAGUGAAGGCCUACAGACUGGAGGCCUACAGAAUGGAGAUAUGACAACAUAGUGGAGGCCUACAGACUGGAAACAAUGCAACAUAGUGGAGGCCUACAGACUGGAGUCAUGACAACAUAGGGAGGCCUACAGACUGAAGACAUGACAACAUAGUGGAGGCCUACAGACUGGAGACAUGACGACAUAGUGGAGGCCUACAGACUGGAGACAUGACAACAUAGUGGAGGCCUACAGACUGGAGACAUGACAACAUAGUGGAGGCCUACAGACUGGAGACAUGACAUCAUAGUGGAGGCCUACAGACUGGAGACAUGACAACAUAGUGGAGGCCUACAGACUGGAGACAUGACAACAUAGUGGAGGCCUACAGACUGGAGACAUGACAUCAUAGUGGAGGCCUACAGACUGGAGACAUGACAACAUAGUGGAGGCCUACAGACUGGAGACAUGACAACAUAGUGGAGGCCUACAAACUGGAGACAUUACAACAUAGUGGAGACCUACAGACUGGCGUCAUGACAACAUAGUGGAGGCCUACAGACUGGAGACAUUACAACAUAGUGGAGACCUACAGACUGGAGGCCUGCAGUCUGGAGACAUGACAACAUAGUGUAGGCCUACAGACUGGAGACAUUACAUCAUAGUGGAGGACUACGGACUGGGGACAUGACAUUAUAGUGGAGGACUACGGACUUGGGACAUGACAUUAUAGUGGAAUACUACAGACAUGGCAACAUAGGGGAGGCCUACAGACUGGAGACAUGACAACAUAGUGGAGGACUACAGACUGGAGACAUGAAAUUAUAGCGGAGGCCUACAGACUGGAGACAUGACAUCAUAGUGGAGGACUACAGACUGGAGACAUGACAACAUAGUGGAGGCCUACGGACUGGGGACAUGACAUUACAGAUGAGGACUACGGCCUGGGGACAUGACAUCAUAGUGGAGGCCUACAGACUGGAGACAUUACAACAUAGUGGAGGCCUGCAGACUGGAGAUAUUACAACAUAGUGUAGGCCUACAGACUGGAGACAUGACAUUAUAGUGGAGGACUACGGACUGGGGACAUGACAUUAUAGUGGAGGCCUACAGACAUGACAGCAUAGUGUAGGCCUACAGACUGGAGACAUGACAUUAUAGUGGAGGACUACGGACUGGGGACAUGACAUUAUAGUGGAAGACUACAGACAUGACAACUUAGUGGAGGACUACAGACUGGAGACAUGACAACAUAGUGGAGGACUAAAGACUGGAGACAUGACAACAUAGUGGAGGCCUACAGACUGGAGACAUGACAUCAUAGCGGAGGCCUACAGACUGGAGGCCUGUAGUCUGGAGACAUGACAACAUAGUGUAGGCC